GAAGAAUGUCACUGAGUAGACAAAAUAAUGGUCAUCAGGGAAUUGGUAAAGUAAAGAGGAAAAGAAGAAUCAAGACAGUACAAUGCCAUGACAGCUCAAGUGAGAAGACUUUUCAUAAGGAGAGGGGAGACAACCCCAUGAAUGAGCCAUGUAGGUCAAGAAGAAUGAAGGCUGAGAUCAGUGCUGCAGAAAUCACAGGUAGCACAAGGCAAUCUGGAGCUCAGCAGUCCGGAGCUGGUAUAAUGACUCCAUCGUCCUUCUGUCUUGGUCCUUUUGAGUGUGGCUCCAUCAUCCUCAGUGAGUGGCUUCUUCCUCACGGUUCAAGAUAGAUGUCUGAUGUUUAGUCUUAUUCCUGCCAGCAGGAAGGAAGAGCAGAAGAAUGGCAUACCCACCCCCAACCUCCUGUUUUGAGACAGAGUCUCACUUUAUUGUCCAUGCUAGAGUAUAGUGAUCAUAGCUCACUGCAGCUUCAACUUCCUGGGCUUGAGGGAUCCUCCCACCUUAGCCUCCCAAGUAGCUGUGUCUACAGGAGCACACCACCAAGCCCAGCUAAUUUUUGUAUUUUUUGUAGAGACAGGGGUCUCACUGUGUUGCCCAGACUUGUGUCCAGUUACUGAGCUCAAGUGAUCCUCCUGCCUUAGCAUCCCAACGUGCUGGGACUACAGGAAUGAGCCACCACAAGUGGCUUCCUUUCCUUUUAAGGACACAUCUCAGAAGUUGCAUACAUCUGAUUAUAUCCCAUUAGCUAUAACUCAGUCACAUAUAGCACCCAGUAGUAAUAGAAACUGAGGAAUGUGCAUGGUUUAAAAAUCAUGGGUUCUGCUACUAAGGAGGAAGAGAGAACAGAUAUUGAGAGACAACCGGAAGUCUCCAUUUCUAUGGCCCAUUCUAAUGUUUGCCAGACCUUGCUGGUCAGUGAAUUUCUAUUUUCAUUUAAAUUGGUUUUUCAUACUCCAGCAUAUUUGUUCCUAUUGAGUUCUCAAUAAAUAUCAAUAGAUUCCAUUUUUAAUGUAGCAAAAUAUAAGUUCCAAGCUCUGGGAGGUUUCAUAUAUAUUAUAUAUAAUCAAAAAUGUUGGGGGCCAUUUUUAUAUAAAACAUAAUGGUCUCCAACUUUUUUGAUCAUGAACCACAAUCAAUACAGUUUAAUCCCCCA
rnacentral:lncRNA from 1 species